rnacentral:rRNA from 1 species
AUUGAACGCUAGCGGGAUGCUUUACACAUGCAAGUCGAACGAGUGGCGGACGGGUGAGUAAUAUAUCGGAACGUGCCCAGAAGCGGGGGAUAACUACUCGAAAGAGUGGCUACUACCGCAUACUAUUGGAGCGGCCGAUAAUGGAUUAGCUAGUUGGUGGGGGAAAGGCACAACAAAGCAAGGAACCGUAGCUGGUUUGAGAGGACGACAAGCCACACUGGGAAGUAGACCCGGCCCAGACUCCUACGGUAGGCAGCAGUGGGGAAUUGUGGACAAUGGGUGAAACCCUGAUCCAGCCAUCCCGCGUGUAUGAGAAGGCCUUCGGGUUGUAAAGGCCUUUUGGCAUAGAAGCGGUAUCUUCAGAAUAAGCACCGGCUAACUACGUGCCAGCAGCCGCGGUAAUUC